rnacentral:rRNA from 1 species
UAGGGAAUCUUCCGCAAUGGACGAAAGUCUGACGGAGCAACGCCGCGUGAGUGAAGAAGGAUUUCGGUUCGUAAAACUCUGUUGUUAGGGAAGAAAAAAUGUAUAGUAACUAUAUACAAAAGAGACGGUACCUAACCAGAAAGCCACGGCUAACUACGUGCCAGCAGCCGCGGUAAUACGUAGGUGGCAAGCGUUGUCCGGAAUUAUUGGGCGUAAAGCGCGCGCAGGUGGUUUAGAAAGUCUGAUGGGAAAGCCCACGGCUCAAACGUGGAGGGUCAUUGGAAUCUAAUAAACUUGAGUGCAGGAGAGAAAAGUGGGAUUCCUAGUGUGGCGGUGAAAUGCGUAAGGAUUAGGAGGAACACCGGUGGCGAAAGCGGCUUUUUGGCCUGCAACUGAGACUGAGGCGCGAAAGCGUGGGGAGCAAACAGG